rnacentral:rRNA from 1 species
GGAAGGGCCAUCGCUCAACGGAUAAAAGCUACCCUGGGGAUAACAGGCUUAUCUCCCCCAAGAGUCCACAUCGACGGGGAGGUUUGGCACCUCGAUGUCGGCUCAUCCCAUCCUGGGGCUGUAGUAGGUCCCAAGGGUUGGGCUGUUCGCCCAUUAAAGUGGUACGCGAGCUGGGUUCAGAACGUCGUGAGACAGUUCGGUCCCUAUCCGUCGCAGGCGUAGGAAAUUUGAGAAG